ACGGGUGAGUAACGCGUGGAUAACCUGCCGUAUACAGGGGGAUAACACUUAGAAAUAGGUGCUAAUACCGCAUAAGCGCACGGUUCCGCAUGGAACAGUGUGAAAAACUCCGGUGGUAUACGAUGGAUCCGCGUCUGAUUAGCCAGUUGGCGGGGUAACGGCCCACCAAAGCGACGAUCAGUAGCCGGCCUGAGAGGGUGAACGGCCACAUUGGGACUGAGACACGGCCCAAACUCCUACGGGAGGCAGCAGUGGGGAAUAUUGCACAAUGGGGGAAACCCUGAUGCAGCGACGCCGCGUGAGUGAAGAAGUAUUUCGGUACGUAAAGCUCUAUCAGCAGGGAAGAAAAAAAGUCCUUUGGACUUUGGACGGUACCUGACCAAGAAGCCCCGGCUAACUACGUGCCAGCAGCCGCGGUAAUACGUAGGGGGCAAGCGUUAUCCGGAUUUACUGGGUGUAAAGGGAGCGUAGACGGCAGCGCAAGUCUGGAGUGAAAUGCCGGGGCCCAACCCCGGAACUGCUUUGGAAACUGUGCAGCUCGAGUGCAGGAGAGGUAAGCGGAAUUCCUAGUGUAGCGGUGAAAUGCGUAGAUAUUAGGAGGAACACCAGUGGCGAAGGCGGCUUACUGGACUGUAACUGACGUUGAGGCUCGAAAGCGUGGGGAGCAAACAGGAUUAGAUACCCUGGUAGUCCACGCCGUAAACGAUGAUUACUAGGUGUCGGGGGGCCAAGGCCCUUCGGUGCCGCCGCAAACG
rnacentral:rRNA from 1 species